GACGCACAGGAACAGAGGGAUUGAGGGCCCUGCUCAAUGAGCUUACAUGCUAGAGGGAGUGGCACAAAAGAUAAGGGUAGGGUAGAAAAGUAGGUAGUAUUCUACCAAUCUACUUCUUUAUUACAAUCCUUACCUUUUGUGUCACUAUACCCCACUCCCUCUAGCAUGUAAGCUCAUUGAGCAGGGCCCUCAACCUCUCUAUUCCUGUGUGUC